rnacentral:rRNA from 1 species
UACGAAGGGGGCUAGCGUUGCUCGGAAUGACUGGGCGUAAAGGGCGCGUAGGCGGAUGGCACAGUCAGAUGUGAAAUUCCCGGGCUUAACCUGGGGGCUGCAUUUGAUACGUGUUGUCUUGAGUUCGGAAGAGGGUCGUGGAAUUCCCAGUGUAGAGGUGAAAUUCGUAGAUAUUGGGAAGAACACCGGUGGCGAAGGCGGCGACCUGGUCCGUUACUGACGCUGAGGAGCGAAAGCGUGGGGAGCGAACAGG